rnacentral:tRNA from 1 species
CGCGGGGUGGAGCAGCACGAUAGCUCGUCGGGCUCAUAACCCGAAGGUCGCAGGUUCAAAUCCUGUCCCCGCAACCA